rnacentral:misc_RNA from 1 species
UCCUGGUUAACCCAGGCAGUCUCACUAGAGUUCCCACCUUUACGUGUUGGCAACUAAUGAUAAGGGUUGCGCUCGUUGCGGGACUUAACCCAACAUCUCACGACACGAGCUGACGACAGCCAUGCACCACCUGUUAUGGGCCCUUUCGGACGCCGUAUCUCUACGGUUUUUCCCAUAAUGUCAAACCCAGGUAAGGUUCUUCGGGUCGCAUCGAAUUAAGCCGCAUGCUCCGCCGCUUGUGCGGGGACCCGUCAAUUCCUUUGAGUUUUAGCCUUGCGGCCGUACUCCCCAGGCGGGGCACUUACUGCGUUAGCUGCGGCACCGACGGUAACCCGCCGACACUUAGUGUCCAUCGUUUAGGGCGUGGACUAC